UACAGAGGGUGCGAGCGUUAAUCGGAAUUACUGGGCGUAAAGCGCACGUAGGUGGCGACGUAAGUCGGGUGUGAAAGCCCCGGGCUCAACCUGGGAAUUGCAUUCGAGACUGCAUUGCUGGAGUACGGAAGAGGAGGGCGGAAUUCCCGGUGUAGCGGUGAAAUGCGUAGAUAUCGGGAGGAACGCCUGUGGCGAAAGCGGCGCACUGGACCACAACUGACGCUGAGGCGCGAAAGCUAGGGGAGCAAACAGG
rnacentral:rRNA from 1 species